rnacentral:rRNA from 1 species
UGGGGAAUAUUGGACAAUGGACCAAGAGUCUGAUCCAGCAAUUCUGUGUGCACGAUGAAGUUUUUCGGAAUGUAAAGUGCUUUCAGUUGGGAAGAAAGAAAUGACGGUACCAACAGAAGAAGUGACGGCUAAAUACGUGCCAGCAGCCGCGGUAAUACGUAUGUCACGAGCGUUAUCCGGAUUUAUUGGGCGUAAAGCGCGUCUAGGUGGUUAUGUAAGUCUGAUGUGAAAAUGCAGGGCUCAACUCUGGAUUGCGUUGGAAACUGUAUAACUAGAGUACUGGAGAGGUAAGCGGAACUACAAGUGUAGAGGUGAAAUUCGUAGAUAUUUGUAGGAAUGCCGAUGGGGAAGCCAGCUUACUGGACAGAUACUGACGCUGAAGCGCGAAAGCGUGGGUAGCAAACAGGAUUAGAUACCCUGGUAGUCCACGCCGUAACGAUGAUUACUAGGUGUUGGGGGUCGAACCUCAGCGCCCAAGCAAACGCGAUAAGUAAUCCGCCUGGGGAGUACGUACGCAAGUAUG